UACGAGGGGGGCAAGCGUUGUUCGGAAUUAUUGGGCGUAAAGGGUGCGUAGGCGGUCUGAUAAGUCAUCUGUGAAAUCUAUGGGCUCAACCCAUAGUCUGCAGGCGAAACUGUCGGGCUUGAGUAUGGGAGAGGUGAGUGGAAUUUCCGGUGUAGCGGUGAAAUGCGUAGAUAUCAUUUGGAACGCCAAUGGUGAAAACAGGUAGCUGGGGCUGUGCUGACACUGAGACACGAAAGCCAGGGGAGCAAACGGG
rnacentral:rRNA from 1 species